GGGGUUCCUGCAUACAAAUGUCUGACUGAAGUAGUUGUAAAUUGAAAUAUGUUUCUUUGUAUAAUGAAUGGAACUUCCUGCUUCUCUUCCCCUUAGUCCGCACCCAAAUCAAAUGAGGCACUGUACAGCUUGAAGAAAAUUGAUGAGUCUAUUUUGGCAACUGAACUGCCACUCGUGUCUCUGAUCUUUUUUUGGGUCAGCAAUUAAGUCUUGCAUAAGAGCAGUGUGACUAAGGACAUCAUUGUCAGUUCCACAUCAAGAAAUCAAAGGACAAAAAUAAACGUGAGAUUGGCCAGUGGAACAGGCUAAAACAAGC